GACGAACGCUGGCGGCGUGCUUAACACAUGCAAGUCGAACGGAAAGGCCUGCUUUCCCUUGUGGAUUGCGGGUACUCGAGUGGCGAACGGGUGAGUAACACGUGAGUGAUCUGCCCCCAACUUGGGUAUAAGCCUGGGAAACUGGGUCUAAUUCCCGAUAGGACUGCAGGGUGGUGCCUGUGGUGGAAAACGAUUUUCUAGUGGUUGGGGAUGAGCUCGCGGCCUAUCAGCUUGUUGGUGGGGUAAUGGCCUACCAAGGCGGCGACGGGUAGCCGGCCUGAGAGGGUGGACGGCCGCAUUGGGACUGAGAUACGGCCCAGACUCCGACGGGAGGCAGCAGUGGGGAAUAUUGGACAAUGGGCGGGAGCCUGAAGCAGCGACGCCGCGUGGGGGAUGACGGGCUUCGGGUUGUAAACUCCUUUCGACCGCGAGGAAGCCACCUGGUUGGAAGGGUGGUGACGGUAGUGGUAGAAGAAGCACCGGCUAACUACGUG
rnacentral:rRNA from 1 species